GACGAACGCUGGCGGCGUGCUUAACACAUGCAAGUCGAACGGAAAGGCCCUGCUUUUGUGGGGUGCUCGAGUGGCGAACGGGUGAGUAACACGUGAGUAACCUGCCCUUGACUUUGGGAUAACUUCAGGAAACUGGGGCUAAUACCGGAUAGGAGCUCCUGCUGCAUGGUGGGGGUUGGAAAGUUUCGGCGGUUGGGGAUGGACUCGCGGCUUAUCAGCUUGUUGGUGGGGUAGUGGCUUACCAAGGCUUUGACGGGUAGCCGGCCUGAGAGGGUGACCGGCCACAUGGGGACGGAGAUACGGCCAAGACUCCUACGGGAGGAAGCAGUGGGGAAUAUUGCACAAUGGGCGGAAGCCUGAUGCAGCAACGCCGCGUGCGGGAUGACGGCCUUCGGGUUGUAAACCGCUUUCGCCUGUGACGAAGCGUGAGUGACGGUAAUGGGUAAAGAAACACCGGCGAACUACGU
rnacentral:rRNA from 1 species